rnacentral:rRNA from 1 species
GCGGCUGCUAUACAUGCAGUCGAACGCUUCUUUUUCCACCGGAGCUUGCUCCACCGGAAAAAGAGGAGUGGCGAACGGGUGAGUAACACGUGGGUAACCUGCCCAUCAGAAGGGGAUAACACUUGGAAACAGGUGCUAAUACCGUAUAACAAUCAAAACCGCAUGGUUUUGAUUUGAAAGGCGCUUUCGGGUGUCGCUGAUGGAUGGACCCGCGGUGCAUUAGCUAGUUGGUGAGGUAACGGCUCACCAAGGCCACGAUGCAUAGCCAACCUGAGAGGGUGAUCGGCCACAUUGGGACUGAGACACGGCCCAAACUCCUACGGGAGGCAGCAGUAGGGAAUCUUCGGCAAUGGACGAAAGUCUGACCGAGCAACGCCGCGUGAGUGAAGAAGGUUUUCGGAUCGUAAAACUCUGUUGUUAGAGAAGAACAAGGAUGAGAGUAACUGUUCAUCCCUUGACGGUAUCUAACCAGAAAGCCACGGCUAACUACGUGCCAGCAGCCGCGGUAAUACGUAGGUGGCAAGCGUUGUCCGGAUUUAUUGGGCGUAAAGCGAGCGCAGGCGGUUUCUUAAGUCUGAUGUGAAAGCCCCCGGCUCAACCGGGGAGGGUCAUUGGAAACUGGGAGACUUGAGUGCAGAAGAGGAGAGUGGAAUUCCAUGUGUAGCGGUGAAAUGCGUAGAUAUAUGGAGGAACACCAGUGGCGAAGGCGGCUCUCUGGUCUGUAACUGACGCUGAGGCUCGAAAGCGUGGGGAGCAAACAGGAUUAGAUACCCUGGUAGUCCACGCCGUAAACGAUGAGUGCUAAGUGUUGGAAGGGUUUCCGCCCUUCAGUGCUGCAGCUAACGCAUUAAGCACUCCGCCUGGGGAGUACGACCGCAAGGUUGAAACUCAAAGGAAUUGACGGGGGCCCGCACAAGCGGUGGAGCAUGUGGUUUAAUUCGAAGCAACGCGAAGAACCUUACCAGGUCUUGACAUCCUUUGACCACUCUAGAGAUAGAGCUUCCCCUUCGGGGGCAAAGUGA